rnacentral:lncRNA from 1 species
CUUGCAGAAAUUCGACAGGGAAGAAAAGCAAGUCACCAGGGACUGUAUCCUUGAUUAGUGGCUGCGAUCCUGCAACACACUUCAUCCUGCCCAAUCCCCAUCGAUGUUGGCAUUUUCCUACUCAAUUGAUGUCCUCAUAUUUUCCCUGCUCCAUCUACACACCAUAUAUUUCCUCAGGUGCUACAAACAAGUUCCAAACUUUAUUGGACAGGGGAAGAAGUAGAAGAAACAAGAAGUAUUAUUAAAAUGAAUGGAGUUAAAAUGGGACAGAGGUGAGAAGAAGGAGCUAGAAAACUUUAAAUAAAAUGCACCUACAGCUAAGGAAAUAGACAAGCCUUUCUGAUGGCUCUCAUGGCUCUGCGUUUACAUACUACAGAUUCCUCCUGGAUGAAACAGAAGCCGGGCUGCUGAUGCAGCUGGAGGAGGAAGCGAGAGGUUCCAACGGCAUGACUCCUUGGCAUUUCACACAUCCAUAGAAAUAACCCAUCUAUGAUUUCCACAAGACAAUUUUUUCUUAGUCCCCACUUUUCAGUGUAUGCUCAAACACAAUGCAGAAUCCCAAGAAACUGUGAAACUUUUCUGAGAAAAUGUUCUGAUUUGAAUUAGUUAGCUGUAUUCUGCAUUCAGCACAUUUACAAGCUUUGAAAUAUCGGACAUUGGCAAGCAAGCACUAACAUUUUAUAAGUAGCAGUUUGCAUCCAGGUUUGAGGUAAUGUAAUCCAACAUGCACGAGAACACAGUCUAGGUCCCCUUCUCCCUUCUAAGCAUAGCAGAAGGAUUAGGAAUAAUGAAUGGUGUGAAUUUUGCCACCUAGAGGGUUUCAUUUUGAUACCUGUUACACAGUCCUCUUGAGCACUGUGCUCAUUUUUCCUAUUGCUGAGAUAUGGAAAAUAAAACAGUAAUAGGAACGUGCACUGACAACACACCAUGUCAAUGCCCUAAAACGCAAAGUCUUGGAGAGGGUUCCAUAAUGGCUUCAGUAGAAGCAUAGCUCAUUCCCUGCUUUGCUAAUCAAUUUUCUGCAUGCCAUGUUCUCCCCGUUAUACCUCAUCCCUUAGGCUACUCUUGUAGCCCAAGUCAACCACACAGGUGAUAUACACCGGUGGAAUAGGUCAGGGCAAUUUCUUGAGGCACUGGAGGGGGAAAACCUGGGGUCUCUCCUCAGCCCUCCAAUGUGUCCAUAAUGCUCCUCAUGUGCCACAGGCUCCGUGCCACCAUGGAAUUUGAUCUGGAAGUCUAGAGCCCUUUUCAGGGAGUUGUUUAAGCCUUUAGUCCUUGUUUCUUCACUCUUAGUGUAAUUCUGUGUCAUUUUAGAGCCAGAAACACUGUUGUAACAGUCAAAUGUAGUAAUUAAGACUGUAGUAUCAGAUCACUGGCUUUUCAAUCUUUUUCUAAAAGGCUCUAUGAUCUCAGGCAAAUUUACUGAACUCUUCUUGCUGUAAUAUGGGGAGACAGUGGCCCUCACUUCAUAGAUUGUAGUGAGAUUAAAUAAGUUAAUAUAUGUAAAGCUUUAAUAAAGUACUUAGCAAAUAGUAUAUACAGUACUAUGCAAGUUUUAGCUAUAAAAUGACAAUAACAUUUCACAUAAAAAGGUUACUAUUAAUUGUUACUACCAUUUCCUAAUUAUUGAUUUAUGUAAUAAGCUAUGCCCCAAACCUACCAGGUUUAACUCUUGGUAUUCAGUGUGAACUGAAUUAUAUUCCCCUCAAAUUCAUUUAUUGAAACACUAAUGUGCUGGCAUUAGAAGGCAAGGCAUUUGGGAGGUAAUUAGGUCAUGAAGGUAGAAUCCUCAUGAUGGGAUUAAUGCCCUUAUUAGAACAGACUGAAGAGAAAUUUUACUCUGCCAUGAGAGACACAUAAAAAAAAAAAAAAAAGAUGAAGUCUACAAGCCAGGAAGCAAGCUCCCACCAAGAACUGAAUCAGCCAGCACCUUGUUCUUGAAUUUCCCAGCCUCCAGAACUGUGAGAAAUAAAUAUUAGUAGUUCAAGUCACCCAGACGGUGAUAUUUUUUGAUAUUUUGUGACAGCAGCCCAUACAAACCAAGGCUAUCUUCAAGCAAACAAUUUAGAAGUUCACAAUUUUUUUUCUGUCAAAUAUGUGGUGUUCGCAAAUUGAAAGCAUCUUGGAUUUCAGGUUAGUAUCCCUAGUACAUAUUUUAAAACUUAUUUAGAGAUUCAAUUGACUUAUUUUAUUUGAGUCUAUGUCCACCUUUCUCCUGAGGCAGAGAAUGCCUCUGCCACAGGUCUCAAAAUCCUCUGGUUAACACAAAAAUUACAGAAAAUGCAAAAUUCCAGCCUAGGAAUUAAACACUCUCAUGUGUAAAUUUGUGUAAUGUAGAAGUUUAAUAGCAAAGAAAGAGAAAUUGUUAUACCUAUCAAUCAAGCAGGAGCUUCUCCUUAAAAUCUUUCAACAUGAAUCACAUGGCUUAGCAGGGGUAAAAUAUUUUAGGAGCCUCCUCCUAGAGGAUCUCACUCAAUCUUACUCCCUUGUAGAACAGGCGAUAUCUUCACCAUGCGCACAAUGAAAUCAAUACUCAGAGAAGGCAGAUAAUUCUCCACGAAGCCAGAAAACUAAUAAAUGAACAACUUGGGUGAAAUGUCCCACCAGACGGUGUGAUAUUUAGUAGCCCAGAAAGCUGCCAAGGGGUUGAAUGACACUAUCUGAAGAUAUGAACCAGUUUGCUCUCCAUAGGGAGGAUUUCAUCAACAGGAAACAGAUGCCUGGAAGGCAUUGGAUUUGCUAAGUGUCUAUGCCAUAUGAUUCUGCUGUUUGCGUUUGAUUUAGAAUGCUGAGCUGACUCAAAGUCAAACUAAAUGUCUCCUUUCAAUCCUGUGUAGCUGAAGGAAUCGCAACACCUUUCCCC